rnacentral:tRNA from 1 species
GGGCCUGUAGCUCAGUUGGUUAGAGCAGUGGACUCAUAAUCCAUUGGUCGUAGGUUCGAGUCCUACCAGGCCCA